UGGGGUACUCGGGAUAUUUUCUUCCCGUAACCGCCGUGGAGUCGUGGCGGACCUGGGCUCCCUGGAGCUGGAGGCGCGAGGCAGCCACACGUGCCCCCGCCCCGCCCGCCGGUCGCCGCCACGGCUCGAACGUCUCUCCGAUCCCUCCGCGUUGAGCUAUCCACCCAACCCCUCCCAGAUUCCAGCCCCUGCCCUGCCCCUGCCCGGAUAGCAGGCGGGACGCCGGAGAGCCAUGAGGAGGACGCGUAUAAAACUGCGAAGCCCGGUGCCCAAAGUGAGGAGGGCGCUCGUUCUCGGAGUCGGAGAAGAUCGGGAGAGGGCACGCCGCCGGCGCCGCCGCGGCAGCUGAUCGCCCGAACCCCCACCCCACCCGCCUUGGCGUACUGGCAGCAAAGGUCAGUCAGCCAUCCCCCCACUUUCUCCACUUACGGCUUGAACCCUUCUUUUCUAUACCAUUCCUUGAUUGCCCUAUGCAUAAUUUCUUCUUUCCCGGGGAUUCAAUACGGGGUCGGAUUGGGGCGUGUAGUUCAUCCAGCUUUGUUUUGCCCCACUCAGUUCUGCACUGCACCUGUGGACACACUCUUAGCAUGCACGAAUUGCAGCAGGCCACUUUGCAACACGCGCGUGGGCCACGUGUGCUAAAAAUGUUUUUGCUCGUCAAAAGAAAGUACACUUUUUGAAGACAAUGAUAAAGUGUUUCUGCUAUCCCUGUCUUGACUUAUACUUUUCAUGCUUAUCUGUCGAAUUGGUGUCAGUUAGACUUGUUUUAAGUCUCUUCAUUCUCGUUAAGGCCAUCAGAAACAAGAUAGGAAUAUAUAAGAUGGCAAAAUCAUGGCUUGAAUUUUCGAUCCAAAGAUACAUAGACAGCCCUUUAUUCUAUAGCCGAGAAUAACUGUUUAAUUCCUAUAUUAGUAAUAAUGGAAAGUUCAAAAAAGUAGUACCCAAAUGAAUAUCAGAUUUCAAUGGGUGCCACUUUGUCAAGAACAGGGCGGUGUUAUUUUGUCAGAACUGCUAGACGCCUCCCUUCAUUUCUUAUCUUUUGUAUUUACAUCCAUCAAGUUGUUGUCUUAAUGGCAUUCAUCGGCACUUCGAGUCGUACUACUAUGGUUAGCUGGUGUCUCCAUAAAACUGUGGCUAUCGCUAUCAAUACAAGUUGGGCUUAUCCUGGAUCUGAAAAAUAAAAUCCACACUUCAUCAGUACUCAUAUUAUUUUUAACCAAGAACGGUGAUUCAAUCGAAACUUUUGAUGUGCCUUCAAAAUCAUUUGCUGAUUUUUUCCCUGCAGCUGCAACAGAGCAGCUUUUGUUGAGUUUCUGCAACUUAAAUAGACCUAUUUGUCUUGAAUUAUUGGCUGAUAGGGACUGGAGGAAAAUGACCCUUCUAUAUGCCUUGUACCAUUGUACCUCUCUUUCUCUUUGCAUCAUUCACUUCCUUUUUUCUUAGGUUUACAUCUACCACUUUUGCUUUGUCGGCCAAUAGUGCUGACCGAAAAGACAAGCACAUACACUUGGGUUGCAUCCGGUCAAUAUUUUCAUGGGUCUCCAACUCUCAAGUUCUCGACAUAGUUCUCUUUUUCAAGGAACAAAGGAAAUCAUAGUCUUCAUGCUAUAAUUUAUUGAUACGAUGGGCAGCACAUCUCACACGUUGUUGAUAUUUGAUGGUAGGAAGUCGAGGAAGUCCUGGAAGCUACUUUCCCUGUACAUUUCUGGGUGCUCCUCAUCAACCAGUUCCUCAGCACAGCGAACCUUUUCAUCCAUGGGGAGACCAUGAAUGCUGGCAAUAGAAAUUCUUGCUUCAUCAGGAUUGAGUACGGCUCGAUGGACAAGGGACUUGAUCUGACCAUUGCUCAAGACUUCCAGGUGAUCCCCAAUAUGGACGUGGAGGGCCCCAGGGACUACAGGGACAGCCGUCCAGGUGUUCUCGUCAUGGGGCAUCACUUCAAGUCCUGGGGAGCUCUGCAGCAGGAUGGUGAGGAAGCCAUAAUCGGAAUGGGCAGCCAAUCCAACCUUGUCACCUUGAUGUGAAAAUUGUGGGUAGUUGUUCAAUGCAAGGAACUGCAUUCCAUUCUCAAGUUUUUCUUGCAGGUUACCUAUACGUUGGCGGUUGCAUUGGCCAGUACUGUACCCAGUCUUCCAGAGGGUUGGCGUAGUGCUUUAGGAAUGACCUGGCUUUGCUGAUCCCGUCCCUCGAACUCGUGUCAUACCUGAUAGGCCGUCGGAUGUCGGUCGAUGCGAACAACUCUUUGUACUCCGGUGAAGUUUCAAAAAACUCCGAGGCGGCUUCAAGGGCGCCCUUCAUGAUGGAUUUGCUGACACCAUGGUUUACCACCUGGCAGCAUCAGUACAGAGUGCAGGGUGAGUUCAACGUUCAUUGUCAGCAAACAAGUGUCGGAGAAUAAGGAGCAGCAAGAAAGCAGCAGACACUAUAAGUCACUAACCUCGAAGCAUCCCUGCUUGCGGCACGCGCGCGCCAUGUCCUGGAUGGCAAGCGCCCGCGUGGCCGGGUCCUUGCUGAGCCUGCCAAGGUUGAUCACGGGCAGUGGCCACGACGACGCCGGCGGCAGCUGCCCAACCUGGCUUGCCAUGGAUGCUGGUGUGUUGCAGUGAAGCAGGUGCUGCAUGCCAGGAGCUGUAUUUAUAGGCCCUACCGGCUCUGCAGCUAAAAGCAGGAGGCCAGGAGCUGACACGGAGUGGUACAGCUGCCGGCCACUGUGCUGUGCAACAAAGCCUGGGCAAAUACCUUGUACGAAGACUUUUGAGCGCCCUGGAUGAUACAAGGCUUUCAGAAGAUUCGGUCCAGGAGCAGGCCGCGGCAUCCACUCUGCGCGCGCGCGCGUGCCCGUCCAGGUGAACAAGAUCUUCCCCCCAAGAGGCAGAUCGCUUCGGUUCCUAUCGCUUGGCUUCGGGAGUGGUCACCAGCUGUGACCAUUUUUCUGCUGUUCCCGCGCCAAGUUGCGGCCGGGCACAUUCAUCCCUCUUGCUAGUUGCUUGGCCAAUUCGUGUGUGGCCGAUGCGGACCGGACCCCAGAUAAUGCUUUGUUUUUGCCGCGGGGCUGCGGCGGUGGACGCCGAAUCCACGGCAAGUUGGGGCGCCGGCCCGGUCUGGGGCUGGAGAGGUUUCCGGUUUCGGCUGCUGUAUCUGUAUGCUGACAAAAGGGCUCUUUUGGGGGAGGGACAUCCAUCGACACAGCCCAGGCUUUUUGUCAGAGGCGGCAGGGCACAACGAAACUAUUUCUGUGGAUUGCGUGACUGGAGAUCUUUUUGGGCGCUGCGGCACGCGCCUCUUGUCGCACGAGUCAGUUGGCAACUUGGCAUUAUUUUUUUUAUAAGAAAAGAAGAACUUGGCAUUUUUGGAGCUGUAGCAGAUGAUCAAAGGGCAUUUCUUUAGGACUCGGAAAAAUUCUCUGAGACUGAAAUGGUUGUGCUAUCAGGAUGGAACCAAUAAGUUUUGUUGGACCAGCGGUGGGUGUGCACUGUGAUGUGCUUACCAGCUUAUGCUUUUAAUUUGACAUUAAUAUCAGGGUGGUGUGGAGCAUCUUGUACUCUGAUUGGAUAUUGAAAUAAUAAAAAUUUAGAUAA